rnacentral:rRNA from 1 species
GAUGAACGCUGGCGGCGUGCCUAAUACAUGCAAGUCGAGCGAACAGAUGAGGAGCUUGCUCCUCUGUCGUUAGCGGCGGACGGGUGAGUAACACGUGGAUAACCUACCUAUCAGACUGGUAUAACCUCGGGACACCGGCGCUAAUCCCGGAUAAUAUAUUGCACCGCAUGGUUCAAUAGUGAAAGACGGUUUUGCUGUCACUUAUCGCUGGAUACCCGCCGCUUUAGCUAGUUGGUAAGGUCACGGGUUAUCACGGGAACUAUGCGUUGCCGACCUGCGUGGCGGAUCGCCCACAUGGGAACGGAGACACGGACCAGGCGCCUGCGGGAGGCAGCAGUAGCGAAUCUUCCGCAGUGGUCGAAAGCCUGACGGAGCAACGCCGCGUGAGUUAUGAAGGUCUUCGGAUCGUAAAACUCUGUUAUGAGGGAAGAACAAAUGUGUAAGUAACUAUGCACGUCUUGACGGUACCGAAUCAGAAAGCCACGGCUAACUACGUG